rnacentral:sRNA from 1 species
UGGGGUUGAUGAAACUUACCUCUUUGAAUCGGAAGGUUUAGUUUUGCACAAAGAUCCAAGACAGGUGUAUCUUUGUCUUCUUGAAAUUGGUCGAAUUGUGUCAAGAUACGGGGUUGAGCCACCAGUGUUAGUAAAACUUGAGAAAGAAAUUGAGUUAGAAGAGACUUUGCUUAAUACUUCUGGGCCUGAAGAUUCCAUCAGCCUUCCAAAAUCGUGCUGUCGGCAUGAAGAGCUACAUGAAGCUGUAAGUAGUUGCCACACUUUCUUUUGACCGUGAUACCUUGAAGUCUCAUGAUUUUAAGCACUUCUAGUUUGCUACAGGUGAUGCCAUUUUUAAAAGCAAG